AAAGUUAGGUGAAAUUCAAAAUGAUUUGAAAUAUUUUACUAUAAUUAUUUAGAUUUUUUUUUUAAAUUAUCAUACUCGUAUUUUAUUCAUAAAAAUUAGUAAACACAAUUUAAGAUCACACAGACAGACCCACAAUAAAAAAUACAACGGAGCCCAAAAAAGUUAAUUUGACCAUACGGGUUAAACAAAGCCAACCAACAAAAUAACCUAGAUACAAAAAUAAAACAGAAAAAUAGAUAAAAAAAAUCAUAGUUUGAUCAUUAUUCAUUUCGACGGUUCAAGUCCCUAGGAAACAAUUUCCAAAAACCAUUAAACCAUCAUAUGUUUCCUCUUUCUUUUCCCAACCCGAGAUGCAUCCAACAGUCAAGCUUCAAUCUGGUUCUCUUCCCUUUCGCGAUCCAACCUUCGAUGCGUCGUGCUCAAGCAGUCCUCCAAUAAGGUAAGUCUGUAACCCAUCUCUCAUAGCUUCCCUGGCAAGUUCGUGUGCCAUUAAAUUCACAGAUCUUGGAAUGUGAUUAAAUAAUAUAUGAUGAAAGAACCUUUUAUGAUGUAUGUUUCUUAUCAAAGCCUUUAUAAUCGACCUAUCCACUAGAUCUGAAUUGCUUUUCUUUAAGAUUGAUGCCAAAUCCCCUUCUAUUAUUAUUGAUGCAUAUCCUAUCUGUUUCCCCAAUAAUACUGCUUGGAGACACAGUGGGCCUCUACUACGAACGGAGAAGCAACCUCCUCGUGAGCCACUGUUUUAGAUACAAGAAUCUCUCUAGAAGCAUUUUUUGCCACCACCCCUGAAAUCGAUUUGGCCUGUGACAUAUCAAAUGCCGUGUCGAAGUUCAUUUUAAUAUUUGGCCCAUUCGAGGGGCACCAUUCCAUAUUCACACUUUCCCUGGUUAGUUUUUUAAUCUCACACUCAUCCGUUUCCUUUACAUAACUUAUGGCCCAUGCCUCAAUACCAUAACCCAUGCUCCUCUUCCCUUCAUGUAACCAUUUAUUUCUAUCGGUCCAAAUCGCCUAUAAGGAGUAGCAAAAUAUUUGGCAUUGCAAACCAGUACUACUAUUGAACACCCAAGUAAGCCACUCCCUACUAUCCAAGUCUGUUUCUUUCAAUGCCCAAUCAAGACUUAAACUUACCCAAACUUCUAAUUGUUACAUAACACUCUCGGAAAAUGAGAUCAACGUUCUUAACAACCCCUCCACAUUUGGGGCACGCUACCUCCGCCACCAAUCUUUUUAAGCACAAAUUAGCUAGAUUAGGGAUGAAGUUCCAGGAAAUUUUCCAGAUUAAAAUUUUAAUUUUUGCUAGGAUAUAAAUGUUCCAUAGUUUUUUUGUAAAAAAUUUUCAGCUCGGUCUAUAUAUAACUAGGACUAGAAUUACCUUCAUGUAAUAGUUCGUUGGCGCUUCGCAUGGAAAACUCCCUUAAAGGCUCCUCUCUCCAAACCAUCAUAUCAUCAUGGGCUUCCACUGCUAAGGGGAUUUUUAAUAUUCUAACUGCAUCAUCUCUUGAAAAGGUAGAAUUAAUAAGCUUAAUUUUCCAUUCUCUUGAUUGCGCAUCAAUUAAGUCUGAAACCAUAUUGACCUUCUCAUUGUUAAUGUUUGACAACACUUUAUAACAUGCAGCCCUUGGAAGCCACGCAUCAGCCAUAAUUGAAAAAUUCUCCUUGGUUCCUAUCCUCCAACACAUUCCGUCAUGCAGCAAACCCUUACCUGCCCACACAAUCUUCCAGGUAUAAGAAGUUAGAUUCCCUAACUCAGCAUUUAAAAAAUAGUAUUCGGGAAAUACUUAGCUUUUAGAACACGGGAUAAUAAUGAAUUUGGAUAAUUUAUAAUGUGCCAUCCCUAUUUUACUAAUAAUAACAUUGAACUUGGUCAAACUACGAAAUCCCAAUUGUCUAUUCUCCUUUAAUUCGCAUAGUCAGUCCUAUCCACACCAAUGGCUCCCUCUUCUCUUAUGACUUUUAUGCCACUAAAAUCAAGCCAUUAUACUUUCUAAUUCGCAACAAAAGGACUUUGGGAGUAAGAAACAUGCCAAAGAAUAAGUAGGGAUAGCCUGCAAGAUUGCUUUUAUAAAAACCUUAUUUCCCCUUUGCGAUAGAAAUCUCACACUUCAAUUUUGCCUCAUGCAAUCCUUUAAAAUCUAAAAAGAAGCUUCUUUUUUUUUUUAAUUUUUCCCUACCACAUUUGGCAAUCCUAGAUAUUGCUUAAUAUUAUUCAAAUUGCUUACCCCAAGGAUGUCAGAUACAACACGUCUAAUCCUUUCAGAAGUAUUUGUACUAUAAAAACAGUGAAUUUGUCAUAAUUCACACAUUGCCUAGAACAUCUCUUGUAUUCCCUCAAAAUUGACUUUAAAAUUUUCGCUUCCCCUUCACUUGCUUCACCAAAUAGAAUACAAUCAUCGGCAAAUAGUAAAUGCGAAAUUGGAGGGCCCCCUCUAUUACUUUGGCACCUUUGAUCAAACCAUCCCUCAAUGCUAGACUUAUAAGUGACGAGAGAUCCUCACUAAAAAUAAAAAACCAGAAAAGGACUCAAUGGAUCCCUUUGUCAAAGCCUUAUUUUUGGUUUAAAAAUUGCCCCUGCUUUCUCAUUCACGAUUACUGAGUAUGAGAUAGUUGAGAUGCAUUUCAUCAUAUUCUCUACCCACGAAGUAUGAAAUCCCAUUCGUAGCAUUAUUACCCUUAGGAAAGACCAUUCAACUUUAUCGUAAGCUUUACUUAUAUCCAAAUUUAGCGUUAUGAACCUUUUCUUCUCUAUUCUCUUUUGUUGAAAAGUAUGCAAAAUCUCAUAAGCAAGUAGAACAUUAUCUGAAAUUAGUUUACCUGGCACAAAGGCUCUUUAAGCGCUAUCAAUGCAAGCUUCUAAUAUGUGUUUAAAUUGGUUAACAAUCAUCUCUAUUACCAUUUUAUACAGAACAUUGCAUAAACUAAUUGGUCUAAAAUUCCCUAAGUUCGUCGGAUGAGAAACUUUAGGAAUUAACACAAUAUUAGUAACUUUAAAAGAUUCCAUAGGCAUGCUUUUUUUUAAAACGCCCAAACAGAAGUCAACUACGUCACUCCUCACAAUAUGCUAGAACUGUUGAAAAAAAGCCGAAAAUCCAUCAUUUCCAAAUGCCUUUAUUUGACCUAUUUCCUUCAAAGCCAUCAUGACCUCCUCAUUCAUAUAUUUCGCAAUUAACUUUGAAUUUACCUCCUCUGAGACGCAUCUCUUAAUUCCAAAAAGGGUAUGAUCAGUAUUCCCAAACUCCUUUGACAAGAAAAGAUUUUGAAAAUAGUUUCAAGCAAUGUUCUCUAUUUCACCCUCAUCACUAGUCUUUUUCUCAUCUUCAUGCCUUAAACUCUGAAUAGUAUUCCUUAUUUCCCUCUGUGAGGCGUAACUAUGGAAAAAAUUUGUAUUUUUGUCUCCCAACUUCAACCAAUAAGCACGAGCCCUUAUCUCUCAAUACAUCUCAUCCUUAUCAAUCUCGAGCUUUAGAUGGAUUUUUAUAUCAAUUAAUUCUACUAAAUUCUCAUCAAUUCUUUCACUUUCUAUCAGAACCUCUAAUUUUUCCUUUAAAUUCUUCUUUUGACUUACCCUUUUGUAUUUAACCGAGGCCGCCCAUCAUACUAAACCAUGUUGUAACUUAUUCAAUUUCUCCAAGAUGUUGUCUUUGGUGGACUGCCAAAAACUUCUUACCUUUUACUCAAAAGAAUCCUCCUUCACCCACCAUGCCUUAAAAUAGGCUUUCCUUCUAGACAACUUAUUCAAUCUUAUGUCUAUUUGAAUAAGGAAAGGGCAAUGAUCUGAAAAAGAGCGCGGCAAAUGUAACAUCUCGAUUUUGGGCUUAGUCGGAAUACUGGUUACGGGACCACAAAUUCGAUGAGAAAAAUUUUAUUUUUAUUAUAUUUUUAUGGUCUACGAUUUCACAGAAUGAUUUCGUGAAAAUUUUGUUCGAAAAUUUCGACAUUUGGGCACUCAAUUUAGUAAAAAAGGACUAAAUUGUAAAAAGUGCAAAAGUUGAGUUUUAUAUGUUAGAGGUGUCUAAUAGUAAUGAAAUUUUACAUGGGAGGUCCUUAAAUGAUAAUUAAACCAUUGUAUAACUUGUUGGACAAAAAUGGCCUUGGUUGGGUAAAUUUUGAAAGAAUAGUAAAAAGGGCAUUUUGGUCAUUUAAGGGUAAAAUAAAUUAAAAGACAAAUUUUAAACCCCAAAUGUGUCCCUUUCUUCUUGCUACAGCAGAAUGUACCAAGAGCAGCCAUGGUUAGGGUUUGGCCAAGCUUCCAAGCUUAAUAAUCAAGGAAAUUAAGAUUUGGGCUUAAAUUAAGAAAAUACAAGGUUAUGGACUAGAAUGGUAAAUUUCCAUUUCUGGAUCCGAGGUAAGUUCGUACGAUUAAAUUAUUAAAUUUCAAUAUCAUUUUAUAAAUAGUGAUUAAUAUUUAUGUAUGUUAAUUGUUGAAAAUAAAUAAAUUAUGUACAAAAGUUAUGAAAUUAAACUGAGUAUUUCAGAGGAACGAAACGCAGGAAAUGAGUACGAUCGUUCAGUGAAAAAGAUGAAUUGACGGUAAAUUAGCCAAGUAAAUCGAGAUUCAACAUUUGUUGCGAAUUCUCGUGUUUGCUUUCUGUUUAGCUCUUAUGAGCUUCCAUUAACUCAUAUGAGUUUCAGUUAACCCUUUUGGGGUUUCAGUUCACCUCUGAUGAGCUUCAGUUAGCCUUCAGGCUUCUGUUUAGCACUUGUGUGCUUCAGUUAGCCUUCGGGCUUCCGUUUAGCACUUGUGUGCUUCAAUUAGCCUUCGGGCUUCCGUUCAGCACUUAUGUGCUUCAGCUAGACUUCGGGCUUCAAAUCAUGAUGUACUCAAAUCCGUAAGUCGUUCCUUGAAUGGACAAGUUGGUAAGUCGUAAAUGUAACGUGUGGAAAAAGAAAUGUAAGUAAUAUUAUCAUUAUUAUUAUUGAGCUCCAUUGUGAAAAAUGAGUAAGGGAUCCAUGAAAUGGUAAGUUCAUGAUAGUUGGAAAUGAUCUUAUGAUAAUGAUCAUUAUAUUGUACCAAAACAGAUUUGGACAGCAGCAUUGGUCCGACUUUGAAAAUGAACUAAAAAUAGUGGAAAUUGAGUUAGAAGCUUAAUAAAAUAUGAAAUUAAAGCUUAAUGAGCCUAGUUUCACAUAAAGGAAACGGUGAAAGCAAAAGAAUUCUAUAUUAUGAUAUCUUAAUUUGAAGUUCCAUAGCUCCAAAUAUAAAUGAUUUAGUGACUAUGACUCAAGAAAACAACUUAACCAGAACAUGUGUAAAUGUGCAAUUGGGAUAGUUUUACUAUGAAAAGCAUGUUAGUAAAUUGUUUAUUAUUUUCAUGCGAGCUUAGUAAGUGUAAAACUUACCCCCUCCUUUCUAUUUCUUUUAGUGACAUCAGGUUAGCUCGGGGUUGGAAAUCGUCGGAGGCAGCAUCACACUAUCAAGCCAACACCUUGAGAGUAUAAACAAAUAUGGUAGAAUUAUCAAGUGAGUGGUAUGUAUAGGGACCUAGUUUUAUAACAUGUGUUAUUAUAAUUUGGCCAAAUAUAUUGGUCAUUAGUGAGCUAAUGAUUCUGACUUAUAAAUCUAGCUAUUCAUGUUAUGUCUGAUAUUGGUGAUGUGCAUAUGCUUGUUUGCCAUGCAUGGUUGGUAAUAUGUUAUGUGUUGUUAUGAGAAUGCCAUGCUUGUGUCUUGAUUGUAGAUAUAUAUAUAAUUACUCAAACAUGCCAUGUCAAUUGCUAUGAAAUGUAUAAGUGUAUGUAGGUAAUUAAGGGUGACUAUUGGCUUGAAAAAUAACCUUGAAAUUGUCCACACGGAUAGAUACACGAGCGUGUGUCUAGGCUGUGUGUGACACACAGCUUAAGCACACGGGCAUGUGCCUUGGCUGUGUGACCCUUACUUGUUCAUAACCAAAUGGACAUAGAGCUUCAUAGGCACAGGACACGGGCGUGUCCUAAGCCACAUGGACGUGUGUGACCACACGGCCUAAUUCACACAAGCGUGUGACUCUCCGAAGCAAGAAAAUUUAGUUAAGUUGCCCAAAGAUUUUCAAAGUUCUUGGUUUAGUCCCGAACCACCUCAAUGUAUAUUAUAAGUUUCAAAGACCUAUAUAAGGGACGAUAUGCAUGUGUUCGAGAUGUUUUAAUUUUUUGUGAUAAUUUUGUGGCCCGGUUUUGCAUGUUGUGAAUGUUUAAGUCUGGUAACGCCUCGAACCCUAUCCUGACGUUGGAUACGGGUAAGGGGUGUUACAGCAAAUGUUGGAUCACUGUAGAUGAAAACAAAUUAAAUAUUUUCCACUCCUUUAUCUAACCUUUCUCGAAUGUUAGUUUCUGGCAAAUUCCCUUUUUCCAAGUAAACCAAGUUUCCGAGCACCCCACAUCCAUUAACUGGCAAUCCGCUAAAACAUCCCUAAAAGCCGCCGUUCUCCUCUCAUCCCUUGGUACCCCUCCCACCUUCUCAAAAGAGUAAAAAAUUUCGUUAAAAUCUCCACAUACCAUCCAAGGUAAACCCUAGAGCAACUUAAAUUUCUCAGCAAGUUCUAAGAAACCUCUCUAUUAUGCUCAUAUGGUGAGCCAUAGAAUCCAGUAAACUUCCAUUACUUUUUUCCAUACCUUUCUUGUCAUUCAAUAUCUAUGUGAGAGUCUGAAUAACUUUUUAGACUAACUAUAGCAUUUUUUUUUCCAUGCUAGACACAAUCUACCUCUUGAACCAAUCGAUGCGAUGUCAAUCCAAUUUAAAAAUCCGCAUAUCCUUCUUACACACUCUGUUCAUGCACUCUUAAUCUUAGUCUCCAUGAAGAAGACCACCUGCGUAUUAUACAUCUUCAGCAAAUACUGAAGCCUUUUGAUAGGCCGUGAACUCUCUAAUUCAUGAACAUUCCAACUUACUAUUUUCAUUGUGAUCGAUCGGCUUGCCCCUUGGCAGCCGUUGAUAAAAAGUGGUUUUUUCCCAACACUCUCCUAUUUCUAAUAACUAAAGAUCCCAUCUUCUCCCCCUCCAUAGAUUUAUCACCCUCCUUUCUAGGCCUCUUCUUCCUAUCUCCCCCUUCAAUCACACAUUCUUUCGCAUCAUGGUCCAUAUACGCUUGUUCUUGUGUUUUCAAAGACCUCACAUCCAAACCAAAUAACCGAUUUAGAUCCCCUCCAAAUUUACACCCAAGAUGGGAUCGAUAAAACUCUCAAAACCUCUUCUAUCCGCAUUAUAACAGCCCAUUUUCAGUGAUAUCAGAAUAGUGGUUUCAAGACCAUAAUUUUGACGAGUAAAUUAUUAUUUUAUUAUUUUAAUUAAUGUCUAUGGGAGUAUAUUAAAUUCGUAUUAAAUGUUAAUAAAAUUUGAUGUUUGCAUGAUUAAUUAAGUAAAAAGGACUAGAUCGUAAAAGGUAAAAAAGUUGAGUUCUAUUAGUUAAAAAGGCUAAAUGGUUUUAGAAAGGGAAGUAAAUGGAAUUGAAUGGUAAUUAUACCAUAUAUAUUUAUAGUGGAUGUUUAUGGCGUGGUUUAAGUGAAAUUUUGUUAGUUUUUAAAGGUUAAUGUGGUAAAUAAGUAAAUAAACUUAAAAACAAAAGAAAAGAAAUAUGUAUCAUCUUAUUUUCUUCUUCCUUAACCGAUUUUAAGAGAAAUAAAUCUCUAUUUUUGGUAGCUUGGUUCGAAUAAGCAUAAACUGGUGCAUGGUAAGUGUUUUUCAUUUCGUUUUUAAUGAUCUAUAUGUUUUUGAGAUCGUUUUAGCUUAAUCUAGCUAGCCCAGGAGUUAAUUUGUAAAAUUUUUAAAGGUUUAGGGUUAUUACAUAGAUGUUUUUAAGUAGGUUUUGAUUUUAAAUGAUAGAUUAUGAAUCUUGGUUGAAAUAUGAAUAAGUUUUGUAAAGUGAUUUUUGAUGAAAUUGCAUUUAAAGAUUAGUUUGUGAAAAUAGUAAAAUUUAACGUUAAAUUUAUGAAAUGAUAGUUUAAUUGAGUUGUUAUGAGUCCUUAAAUAAUUUUGUUAGCUUAUAAGGGGGAUUCAAAUGGUUAGAUUUCAAAUUACGAGCUUAAGGACUAAAUUGUGAAAAAGUUAAAAUAUUAGGGGUAAAUUGGUAAAUUUACAUAAAUGUGAGUUAUGAAUUGAAUUGAAUGUUUGAGGCUAAUUGAAGUACUUAAUUGAAUAUAAUUAUCUAUUUAGAUUAAGAUAAACCUUAACCGGACCUAAAUCAAGGAAAGGCAAAAGCUUUGGAUUAGUUUGACCUAACUUCUACGCCUCUUGUCAUCGAGGUAAGUUCGUAUGAACAGUUAUCAUAUUUAUGUUUAUGUUAUUUGAACUGAAUUUUUAUUAUGUUAUUUAUAAUGUAAAUGGAUCGAUAUAUAAAUGUAUCAAUGUUGUGAGGAAUUAACGGAUAUGGAGUCCCGGUUGAACCUUAGGAAUUCGUAGGAUACGAAUGACAUGUCAUUAGGGAUUUCAUGUUUCGAGUGCUGGUCUUGAAUUUCCUACCAAUGGAUGCGGUCCUACAUUUUUUGCGGGGUCUCCACAGCUCGUGUGAGUAGCAUCGUGUAGCUUAUAUUUCGACCCACAGCUCGUGUGAGCAAGCCUAUUUCAUAGCUCGUGUGAGUAAUGAUGUAAAUGAAAUGUUAUGGUUAUAUAUAAAGGCACACUUCGUGUGAGCUUUCCUGAGUAUCCGAUGAAAUUUUAGAUGGUUCAACAGGCAUGAAAAAGGAAUGGAAAAGUAAGUAUGCAAUUAAAUUGAAUCAAGACUUAUUGAAUGGAAAUAUGAACUACAUGAUGCUGUACAUAUGGUUGAUUUCAUUAUAUCAUGGAAAAACUUACUAACUUAUGAGUUGAUGAUGUUGGUUAAACAUUUCUAAGCUUGUGGCAUUGGUGUUGAAUUUUAUUUUAAACUAUGAUAUGUAUUAUGGAAAUGGUAAGUUGUGUUUAUGUUGAUGCGAGCUUAUUAAGCAUUGUUGCUUAUGAAGUUUCUUUCCUUUGUUUUAUAGAUUAUCAGAAGCUCGAUUUGGUUGGAAGCUCAUCGAAGAUCUAUCACACUAUCCAAAAAUCUUUUCAGUAGUUUUUGAGUAUUUUGGCCAAGGAUUAUAAUGGCAUGUAUAACAGGGGUUGCACGGGUGAGAACGUAGACUGGGACAGACCGUAUGUCCCUAGUUCGAAGGUUACACUAGAGUCACACGGGUGAGGACAUAGACUGGGACAGACCGUAUGUCCCUAGUUCGAAGGUUACACUGCCUAAGACACGGCCAUGUGUCUCAACCAUGUGAGACACACGAUCGUGUGACCCCUAUUUUGCAAAUUUUGCAUCUUUUUCCUAAACUUUUCAAAUUGUUUCAAAUUGGUCCCAAAUUAUUUCUAAGUUAUUUUUACGGCCCCAAGGCUCGAUUUAGGGAUAAUAUGGAUGUGUAUGAAUGAUUUAUGAUGUGAUUAUAAUAUUGAAUGAUAUAAUAUUUAAAUGUUUUAGAUUGUACAGUAAUACUUUGUAACCUUAAUCCGGUGACGGAGACUGGUUAGGGGUAUUACACGCAUCCUCCUAAUUGUGUCUACCCAAGUCAUGCCCUUCAAAAGAAC
rnacentral:lncRNA from 1 species